CCUUCCGGCCGGCGGGAGGUGGUGGCACCGGUGGGACCGGGGUCGCUAUCGCACGCUGACGGUCUCUGUACCCCUUCAGGGGAGGCCGCGGCUCCUUCGGGUCCGGCCACGCCGAGAGCCGGCGCCGAGCGCAGACCCCGGUCCACGGGCGCUGGAUGUGUCGGGCUGUGGCCGUCCCGGGGGAGCCGUGGCCGUGCCGUGCUGUGCUGCCAGCGAUGAUUCCCCGCUGACAGGCUGAGCAGCAUCGACUGCAGCUGGGGAUGGUUCCGCUGUUACCCGUGGUGAGGCUCAGGUAGGAGCUGGGCCAUGGAGGCUGCACCAGGGCCAGCACUUCCCCACUGCCCUCCAUAGCCCAGCAGCCGUCGGUGGCCACCUUGGCGGGCCACCAUGGAGCAGCCCACACGUGUGCCUGGGCCCCGCCGGCUUCUGGGCUGCUUCAGGCGGAAGCCACAGACCAUCGAGGGGGAAACACCACCACAACCGGAGCCAGAGCCAGAGGAACCCGAGGAGACACGCAUUGUGCUGCCCCUGGGUGAGAGCCAGGCGCUGGAGGAGUGUCCCCUGUGCCUGCUGCCCCAGCCGCCCGAGGCCUUUCCCAGCCUGGCCUCCUGCUCCCACCGCUCGUGCUGGGCCUGCCUGGAGCGGUACCUGUGCCUCGCUGUGAGCGAGAGCCGCGUGCCGGUGUCGUGCCCGCACUGCCCCGCUGCGCUCCAGCCCGCCGAUGUCCACCGGCUCCUGCCCCAGCCUGCCCUUC